rnacentral:rRNA from 1 species
UACGUAGGUGGCGAGCGUUGUCCGGAUUUACUGGGCGUAAAGAGCGCGCAGGCGGUCGUUCAAGUCGCGUGUGAAAGCCCCCGGCUCAACUGGGGAGGGUCACGCGAUACUGAUCGACUCGAAGGCAGGAGAGGGAAGUGGAAUUCCCGGUGUAGCGGUGAAAUGCGCAGAUAUCAGGAAGAACACCCGUGGCGAAGGCGGCUCUCUGGGACGGUACUGACGCUGAGACGCGAAAGCGUGGGGAGCAAACAGG